CCAUGCCGCGUGUAUGAAGAAGGCCUUCGGGUUGUAAAGUACUUUCAGCAGUGAGGAAGGUGGUAGUGUUAAUAGCACUAUCAUUUGACGUUAGCUGCAGAAGAAGCACCGGCUAACUCCGUGCCAGCAGCCGCGGUAAUACGGAGGGUGCGAGCGUUAAUCGGAAUUACUGGGCGUAAAGCGCAUGCAGGUGGUUUGUUAAGUCAGAUGUGAAAGCCCGGGGCUCAACCUCGGAAUAGCAUUUGAAACUGGCAGACUAGAGUACUGUAGAGGGGGGUAGAAUUUCAGGUGUAGCGGUGAAAUGCGUAGAGAUCUGAAGGAAUACCGGUGGCGAAGGCGGCCCCCUGGACAGAUACUGACACUCAGAUGCGAAAGCGUGGGGAGCAAACAGGAUUAGAUACCCUGGUAGUCCACGCCGUAAACGAUGUCUACUUGGAGGUUGUGGCCUUGAGCCGUGGCUUUCGGAGCUAACGCGUUAAGUAGAC
rnacentral:rRNA from 1 species